rnacentral:rRNA from 1 species
UCAUCUUCGGGGGUAGAGCACUGUUUCGGCUAGGGGGUCAUCCCGACUUACCAACCCGAUGCAAACUACGAAUACCGAAGAAUGUUAUCACGGGAGACACACGGCGGGUGCUAACGUCCGUCGUGAAGAGGGAAACAACCCAGACCGCCAGCUAAGGUCCCAAAGUCAUGGUUAAGUGGGAAACGAUGUGGGAAGGCACAGACAGCCAGGAUGUUGGCUUAGAAGCAGCCAUCAUUUAAAGAAAGCGUAAUAGCUCACUGGUCGAGUCGGCCUGCGCGGAAGAUGUAACGGGGCUAAACCAUGCACCGAAGCUGCGGCAGCGACACUAUGUGUUGUUGGGUAGGGGAGCGUUCUGUAAGCCUGCGAAGGUGUGCUGUGAGGCAUGCUGGAGGUAUCAGAAGUGCGAAUGCUGACAUAAGUAACGAUAAAGCGGGUGAAAAGCCCGCUCGCCGGAAGACCAAGGGUUCCUGUCCAACGUUAAUCGGGGCAGGGUGAGUCGACCCCUAAGGCGAGGCCGAAAGGCGUAGUCGAUGGGAAACAGGUUAAUAUUCCUGUACUUGGUGUUACUGCGAAGGGGGGACGGAGAAGGCUAUGUUAGCCGGGCGACGGUUGUCCCGGUUUAAGCAUGUAGGCUGGUUGUCCAGGCAAAUCCGGAUAAUCAAGGCUGAGGUGUGAUGACGAGGCACUACGGUGCUGAAGUAACAAAUGCCCUGCUUCCAGGAAAAGCCUCUAAGCAUCAGGUAACAUCAAAUCGUACCCCAAACCGACACAGGUGGUCAGGUAGAGAAUACCAAGGCGCUUGAGAGAACUCGGGUGAAGGAACUAGGCAAAAUGGUGCCGUAACUUCGGGAGAAGGCACGCUGGUGUGUAGGUGAAGUCCCUGCGGAUGGAGCUGAGACCAGUCGAAGAUACCAGCUGGCUGCAACUGUUUAUUAAAAACACAGCACUGUGCAAACACGAAAGUGGACGUAUACGGUGUGACGCCUGCCCGGUGCCGGAAGGUUAAUUGAUGGGGUUAUCCGUAAGGAGAAGCUCUUGAUCGAAGCCCCGGUAAACGGCGGCCGUAACUAUAACGGUCCUAAGGUAGCGAAAUUCCUUGUCGGGUAAGUUCCGACCUGCACGAAUGGCGUAAUGAUGGCCAGGCUGUCUCCACCCGAGACUCAGUGAAAUUGAACUCGCUGUGAAGAUGCAGUGUACCCGCGGCAAGACGGAAAGACCCCGUGAACCUUUACUAUAGCUUGACACUGAACAUUGAGCCUUGAUGUGUAGGAUAGGUGGGAGGCUUUGAAGCGUGGACGCCAGUCUGCGUGGAGCCAACCUUGAAAUACCACCCUUUAAUGUUUGAUGUUCUAACGUUGGCCCCU